UCGAUAACGAACGAGAUCUUAACCUGCUAAUUAGCGGUAAAUACAACAUAUUCUUAAGUAAAUAAGAAUAUAAGAUAAAAAUAACAAAUAAGAGAAUAUAUGAUGUCUUCUUCCUGUUCUU
rnacentral:rRNA from 1 species